GUUAUAGGAUCAAGCGACUAAGCGCACAUGGCGGAUGCCUUGGCGGCAACAGGCGAUGAAAGACGUGUAAGCCUGCGAUAAGUUUCGGGGAGCUGGCAAUAAAGCUUUGAUCCGGAAAUUUCUGAAUGGGGAAACCCACCCGCAAGGGUACUCCUGACUGAAUACAUAGGUCAGGUAGAGCGAACCCGGCGAAUUGAAACAUCUCAGUAGCCGGAGGAAAAGACAUCAACCGAGAUUCCCAAAGUAGUGGCGAGCGAAAUGGGAAGAGCCUUCAUGAUUUAGCAGUUGAUAUAGCCGAACGGUCUGGAAAGUCCGACGACACUGGGUGAUAGUCCCGUAGGCGAAAUGUUGGCUGUGGAACUAAGCAUGAGAGAAGUAGGGCGGGACACGUGAAAUCCUGUCUGAAUAUGGGGGGACCAUCCUCCAAGGCUAAAUACUCGUUGCCGACCGAUAGCGAACUAGUACUGUGAAGGAAAGGUGAAAAGAACCCCGGGAGGGGAGUGAAAUAGACCCUGAAACCGUGUGCGUACAAACAGUCGGAGCUCGAAAGAGUGACGGCGUACCUUUUGUAUAAUGGGUCAGCGACUUACGUUCAGUAGCAAGCUUAACCGAAUAGGGUAGGCGUAGGGAAACCGAGUCUGAUAAGGGCGAAUUUAGUUGCUGGGCGUAGACCCGAAACCGGAUGAUCUAGUCAUGGCCAGGAUGAAGGUGGGGUAACACCUACUGGAGGUCCGAACCGACUGUUGUUGCAAAAACAGCGGAUGAGUUGUGACUAGGGGUGAAAGGCUAAACAAAUCCGGAGAUAGCUGGUUCUCCUCGAAAACUAUUGAGGUAGUGCCUCGUGUAUAUCCGCUGGGGGUAGAGCACUGUUAUGGCUAGGGGGACAUGUCGUCUUACCAAACCAUGGCAAACUCCGAAUACCAGUGAGAGUGAGCACGGGAGACAGUCCUCGGGUGCUAACGUCCGAGGUCGAGAGGGAAACAACCCAGACCGCCAGCUAAGGUCCCCAAGAUAUGGCUAAGUGGGAAACGAAGUGGGAAGGCAUAGACAGUCAGGAUGUUGGCUUAGAAGCAGCCAUCAUUUAAAGAAAGCGUAAUAGCUCACUGAUCGAGUCGUCCUGCGCGGAAGAUGUAACGGGGCUCAAGCAGAGGAGCGUUCUGUAAGCCUGUGAAGGUGUUCUGUAAGGAAUGCUGGAGGUAUCAGAAGUGCGAAUGCUGACAUGAGUAGCGUUAAAACGGGUGAAAAGCCCGUUCGCCGAAAACCCAAGGUUUCCUGCGCAACGUUCAUCGGCGCAGGGUGAGUCGGCCCCUAAGGCGAGGCAGAGAUGCGUAGUCGAUGGGAAGCGGGUUAAUAUUCCCGCACCGAUAUGUGAUGCGAUGGGGGGACGGAGAAAGCUAACCAAGCCAGGUGUUGGAUAUCCUGGUGAAAGCGUGUAGGCGUGCUGCUUAGGUAAAUCCGGGCGGCUUAGCUGAGGCGUGAGACGGAAACCUCCUCGGAGGUCCAAGUUGGUGAUGCUCUGCUUCCAAGAAAAGCCUCUAAGCUUCAGUCACAUAUUGACCGUACCGCAAACCGACACUGGUGGGUAGGAUGAAAAUUCUAAGGCGCUUGAGAGAACUCUGGAGAAGGAACUCGGCAAAUUGAUACCGUAACUUCGGGAGAAGGUAUGCCUCUUAUUGUGAAGUCCCUUGCGGAUGGAGCGACGAGAGGUCGCAGAGAAUCGGUGGCUGCAACUGUUUACCAAAAACACAGGACUCUGCUAACACGAAAGUGGAUGUAUAGGGUCUGACGCCUGCCCGGUGCUGGAAGAUUAAAUGAUGGGGUGCAAGCUCUUGAUUGAAGUCCCAGUAAACGGCGGCCGUAACUAUAACGGUCCUAAGGUAGCUGUCUCCUCCAGAGACUCAGCGAAGUUGAAGUGUUUGUGAUGAUGCAAUCUCCCCGCGGCAAGACGGAAAGACCCCAUGAACCUUUACUGUAGCUUUGCAUGGGACUGUGACGAUGUUUGUGUAGGAUAGCUGGGAGGCUUUGAAGCGUGGACGCUAGUUCGCGUGGAGCCAACGUUGAAAUACCAGCCUGACAGCGUUGCGGUUCUAACCUGGCCCCCUGAAUCGGGGGUGGGGACAGUGCAUGGUGGGCAGUUUGACUGGGGCGGUCUCCUCCUAAAAGGUAACGGAGGAGCUCGAAGGUGCGCUCAGCGCGGUCGGAAAUCGCGCUACUGGAGUGUAAUGGCACAAGCGCGCUUGACUGCGAGACUGACAAGUCGAGCAGGUACGAAAGUAGGACAUAGUGAUCCGGUGGUUCUGUAUGGAAGGGCCAUCGCUCAACGGACAAAAGGUACUCUGGGGAUAACAGGCUGAUACCGCCCAAGAGUUCAUAUCGACGGCGGUGUUUGGCACCUCGAUGUCGGCUCAUCUCAUCCUGGGGCUGUCCUAUCUGCCGUGGGCGCUGGAAAUUUGACGGGGCCUGUUCCUAGUACGAGAGGACCGGAAUGGACGUACCGCUGGUGUACCUGUUGUCUCGCCAGAGGCAUCGCAGGGUAGCUAUGUACGGAAGAGAUAAACGCUGAAAGCAUCUAAGCGUGAAACUCGCCCGAAGAUUAGAUUUCCCGGGGGUUUAACCCCCUUGAAGAGCCGUUCAAGACCAGGACGUUGAUAGGUCAGGUGUGGAAGGGAAGUAAUUCCUUAAGCUAACUGAUACUAAUUACUCGUAAGGCUUGAUCCUAUAACUCA
rnacentral:rRNA from 1 species